rnacentral:rRNA from 1 species
GAGUUUGAUCCUGGCUCAGAAUCAACGCUGGCGGCGUGCCUAGCACAUGCAAGUCGAACGAGAAAGUGGAGCAAUCCAUGAGUAAAGUGGCGACCGGGUGAGUAACACGUGACUAACCUACCUCCGAGUGGGGAAUAACUCCGGGAAACCGGGGCUAAUACCGCAUAACAUCGCAAGAUCAAAGCAGCAAUGCGCUUGGAGAGGGGGUCGCGGCUGAUUAGCUAGUUGGCGGGGUAACGGCCCACCAAGGCGAAGAUCGGUAUCCGACCUGAGAGGGCGCACGGACACACUGGCACUGAAACACGGGCCAGACUCCUACGGGAGGCAGCAGUGGGGAAUCUUGCACAAUGGGGGCAACCCUGAUGCAGCGACGCCGCGUGAGCGAUGAAGCCCUUCGGGGUGUAAAGCUCUUUCGGCAGGGAAGAUUAUGACGGUACCUGCAGAAGCAGCUGCGGCUAACUACGUGCCAGCAGCCGCGGUAAUACGUAGGCAGCGAGCGUUGUUCGGAGUUACUGGGCGUAAAGGGUGUGUAGGCGGUUCUUUAAGUUUGGUGUGAAAUCUCCCGGCUCAACCGGGAGGGUGCGCCGAAUACUGAGGGACUAGAGUGUGGGAGAGGCGCGUGGAAUUGCAGGUGUAGCGGUGAAAUGCGUAGAUAUCUGCAGGAACACCCGUGGCGAAAGCGGCGCGCUGGGCCACUACUGACGCUGAGGAACGAAAGCUAGGGGAGCAAACAGGAUUAGAUACCCUGGUAGUCCUAGCCCUAAACGAUCAGGACUUGGGGUGCCGCCCGUUCGGGCGUCGUCCCGGAGCUAACGCGUUAAGUCCUGCACCUGGGGAGUACGGUCGCAAGACUGAAACUCAAAGGAAUUGACGGGGGCCCGCACAAGCGGUGGAGCAUGUGGUUCAAUUCGACGCAACGCGAAGAACCUUACCUGGGCUCGAAGCGCAGUGGACCGGGGUAGAAAUAUCCCUUCCCCUUAAAAGGCUGCUGCGGAGGUGCUGCAUGGCUGUCGUCAGCUCGUGUCGUGAGAUGUUGGGUUAAGUCCCGCAACGAGCGCAACCCUUAUCCCUAGUUGCCAUCGGGUCAAGCCGGGCACUCUAGUGAAACUGCCUGGGAUAACCAGGAGGAAGGUGGGGAUGACGUCAAGUCCUCAUGGCCUUUAUGUCCAGGGCUACACACGUGCUACAAUGGUCGGUACAAACCGUCGCAAACCCGUGAGGGGGAGCUAAUCGGAAAAAGCCGGCCUCAGUUCGGAUUGGAGUCUGCAACUCGACUCCAUGAGGCUGGAAUCGCUAGUAAUCGCGGAUCAGAACGCCGCGGUGAAUACGUUCCCGGGCCUUGUACACAC